rnacentral:rRNA from 1 species
GACAGCAGUAGCCACGGGAAUACAGAGGGUGCGAGCGUUAAUCGGAUUUACUGGGCGUAAAGCGUGCGUAGGCGGCUUCUUAAGUCGGAUGUGAAAUCCCUGAGCUUAACUUAGGAAUUGCAUUCGAUACUGGGAAGCUAGAGUAUGGGAGAGGAUGGUAGAAUUCCAGGUGUAGCGGUGAAAUGCGUAGAGAUCUGGAGGAAUACCGAUGGCGAAGGCAGCCAUCUGGCCUAAUACUGACGCUGAGGUACGAAAGCAUGGGGAGCAAACAGGAUUAGAUACCCCUGUAGUCCCUGUCUCUUAUAA